CCCAUUAAAAAAAAAUACCACAUUGGUGUGUACCCAUAACAAAGAGUCUCUUUAUUUGUUAAUUUGUUAUUGCUGGCUUGCAACACUUUAUGUACUAUUCAUGAUUGUCAUUCUACUUCAAAGCAAACAACCUGUUCACAAUUGACAAAUCAAGUAAUUUCAACAUGUAGUUAGUUAAAAUCCAAAUCGCAUGUUGAAUUUGUUCAACAAAUCUAACACCCAAAAUUCUGGAAGGAAAAGAAAAUGGUGUGGUUAAUUGUGUAAAUAACCAAGACAUUUAGGGCAAAUUGUAGCGAAUGCCAUUGGAGACAACCGACCACUAAAACGCACAGUGUUUUCCCACUCAGCUCAAAAGAUCCAGCUCCUGCUCAAUCGACCGGCGGAAACCAGAGAUCUAUCUUCAUCCCAAAGUCAAAGUCUAUGUCGACGCAAAAGAAUCUGAAAAAAAAAUCAAUGUGUUGGAUAAUAUCACAUUAAUUAUUCAAAAAAUUACGAAGGCAUGAUGAUGUUAGGUUCGACCUACCUUUGGGACCUCAUUGUGUCAUUUUCUAUUAAAUAACACAUGCCGGGAAGGAAGAUAGAAGGGAAGCUUCGUUGGGCACCUUGGAGGUUCUCUGGCCUUACUACUAGGGCAGAGGCAAAGAGUUCUAAACUUGAUUGCCCCAUAACAAAAAUUAGGUAAAUGAACGAUGGACUUAACGGUCAAGAGUCCCAUAGUUUAGAAUUUAACGAUCAAAUGUCUCGAUACACACAUGUUUCCGUCUAUUAAAACAUACAUUAUCUAAAAAAGCAAGUUUUGGGAUUUCUAUUUCCGUCUUUCUCUUGGAGUCUAAUCUGCAAGUUUAGCGCUUAAAUGUAUUUCUUCCCAGAGGAUUGACAGGGUGAACUGCUAGCUUUCGUAUAUGAGAUAUCCAAUGUAGUCACUAAGUUACUCUAGGGAUAACAGACUGAUCUUCUCCAAGAACUCACAACAACGGGAAGGUUUGGCACAUUGAUGUUGGCUCUUCACCACAUGGGGUUGUAGUAUGUUCCAAGGGUUGGGUUGUUCACCUAUUAAAGAGGUACGUGAGCAGGGUUCAGAACAUCAUGAGACGACCAGACUAGGAAACAACUAUCCAAACACCCUUCUAACAAACAAGCUACACACAUCGGGGUGAGGUGCGCAUUGCCCUAAGAAUCUUAAGUUUGAUAUUUCUCAUGAAGGGAUUCAGCAACAAAGACACCUGCGAAUAUCGUUCUGUAUGAAUUCCUAAAAACUCUAAUAGAAGUCCGUCUCUUUUAACACAUGGGGCUAGAGAGAAGGGUAGGUUUGUAGGACAACUUGGAGAUUAGGAGAGUCUUUGGCCUUAAUAAUACUCAGAACCGAAAAUGCUACAUGAAACUAGCAAGAGAGACCAAAUAUUUCGGUGCAUACUAUAUUCCAAUGCAUACUAAAAAAAAAUUGAGCUAAAGAAGGUCUCUUUUUAACACAUGGCUAGCUAGAGAGACUAAUGCAUAUUUAUUACACAUUUAACUAAUUGUGAUGGAGAUUUUGACAUGGAAUAAUUAUGGUAUAAUGGGGAACCAGAGACUUGAAUUUAUGGGAUGGUACUUGGCAACCGAUUUGGUAAAUUCAUUAUUUGUAGGCUCCCCAUGCCUGAUGAGUGAUGAGUUUCUUCAUUUUUUAAUUAGGUUUUCGGCAAAUGUUGCACAUGGAUUUGAAACCAUCUGACCCAACUGUGACCUUUUCCAGGAAGAUGUUCAGAGUUUUAGUUUUGCAAGUUUGAAAAUGUUGCAGCAAAAGAUGCAAUCAUGCCUUGCCUUGAUCAAUUAAUAAUUGAAUGAAUGGGCUGGGAAUGAGAAGGCAUAUACAGACAAGCUAGUCUUGCUUGUUUGAUGUAUUACGCGUUCUUUAAGUUUAUCUUGUCGUUGCUAUUCAUUUGUAAGUGACAGAUUUUCAAUUUAAAUCUCAUAAAUGAUAAGUUUAAUGUAUAUAUAUUGUGAUACAUAUGCUCUCGUUUAAGCUUAACAAAACAAUUUACAACUUAUAGUUACAUGAUUUUAUUUCUUUUUUACACCGUGACCCUUGGCGAUAAAGCUUCCCACCUCUUGGACUUUAAGGGGGCGUUUAUUGCGCCGGACUAUCUCGGACUGGACUAACUUCAAGGACUAAGCUGGACUGGCUUAGACUAGACUAAGCUGGACUAACUUAGUGAAGCGUUUGGUGCAGUGUUGGACUAAGAAGCUAGAUAAUAACAAAUUCUAAUAUUAUAUUAUUUAAUAUAUAAAUUAUUAAUAUUUUAUUAUGAUCUAGGUGACCGGAGAUGAUGGAGAGUCUAUCGGGAGUGGUUGUUGAGCAUGACGAGGAUGAGAGAAGAUAGUCUUAGCUAGUCCCAUGGUUAUUGGGGGGUCUCACUAAGACCUCUUAGUGAAGGUUUUGUCCAUGCUAGUCCCCUUUAGUCUCAUUAAUGUUAGUCCCAGCAUGGAACAAACACAGUAUUAGACUAACAGUUAGUCCAGUCUAGUUCAGUCCCACUUAGUGAGGGCAAACAAACGCCCCCUAAGUGGUUAACUUGAGAACAAUAAUAUAUUUAGCCCAUCUCUCUCAAAUUCAGUGUCCCUAAUUGUUUUUUCUUUUUUUUUCCCUUCCAAUCAGAGGUGGAUAGAUACAAAAUAAGGAAAACUAAUGAAAAUGGCUUGAAAACUUUGAGUUUUAAUGAUAAGGACAAAAUAAAGGGUAAAGUGAAUAGUACCAUGAUUGACUUUUUAGUGUAAAAAUGUGGUUUUUCGUUAAAAUGAACAGUACCGGGUGCUUUUGGUUAAAGUUCCCUACAAAAUAAUAAGCCACUAAAGGUCUUCCGACUGAGAAAUUUUUAGUUAUGACAGGAAUACAAGUGAUACACCACGUGUUUUAAUAGGAAUAGUGGGAAAUUUUAUUUUUUAAGUUAUUAAUUUUUUAGUACACAUAUCACAUCAUUUGUUGAUUGACACGUGAUGUAACACUCUGUGUACCGGUCACACUGAAAAACCUCUCCCUCGGACUUCUAGGAGGUUUUUCUUUUGGGCAAUUGUUCACCGUUGCUAGAUUCGAACCCAUGAUACAAUCGUCUUGUAUG
rnacentral:lncRNA from 1 species